GAUGAACGCUGGCGGCGUGCUUAACACAUGCAAGUCGAACGAAGCACCUUGAUUUGAUUCUUCGGAUGAAGAUCUUGGUGACUGAGUGGCGGACGGGUGAGUAACGCGUGGGUAACCUGCCUCAUGCAGGGGGAUAACAGUUAGAAAUGACUGCUAAUACCGCAUAAGACCACAGCACCGCAUGGUGCAGGGGUAAAAACUCCGGUGGUAUGAGAUGGACCCGCGUCUGAUUAGGUAGUUGGUGGGGUAACGGCCUACCAAGCCGACGAUCAGUAGCCGACCUGAGAGGGUGACCGGCCACAUUGGGACUGAGACACGGCCCAAACUCCUACGGGAAGCAGCAGUGGGGAAUAUUGCACAAUGGGGGAAACCCUGAUGCAGCGACGCCGCGUGAGCGAUGAAGUAUUUCGGUAUGUAAAGCUCUAUCAGCAGGGAAGAAAAUGACGGUACCUGACUAAGAAGCACCGGCUAAAUACGUG
rnacentral:rRNA from 1 species